rnacentral:rRNA from 1 species
CAAUAGCGUAUAUUAAAGUUGUUGCAGUUAAAAAGCUCGUAGUUGGAUUUCUGGUGGGAGCGAUCGGUCUGGCGCUUAGCGCGAGUACUUGCAUCGUCUCCGGCCAUCUUUGGGGAGAGUCUGUCUGGCAUUAAGUUGUCGGGCAGAGGAUCCUCAUCGUUUACUGUGAAAAAAUUAGAGUGUUCAAAGCAGGCUUAUGCCGUUGAAUAUAUUAGCAUGGAAUAAUAAGAUAGGACUUUGGUACUAUUUUGUUGGUUUGCGCACCAAAGUAAUGAUUAAUAGGGACAGUUGGGGGUAUUCGUAUUCCGUUGUCAGAGGUGAAAUUCUUGGAUUUACGGAAGACGAACUACUGCGAAAGCAUUUACCAAGGAUGUUUUCAUUAA